UGGCAGGAUCCCAAAGUGAAGAAAAAAGUGAAGAAAAGCCCCCGGCCCAUCCAACAGCUGCAGCAGGUUGCUGUCCCUGGGUCCGUCACCAGCCUGGGCCCUGCGGACCACAUCAGGCCCAUUGCACACUGUUUAACAGCCGGAGCGUCCUUAACAGGAUUUACAUCUAACAGCAUGACGGGUUCUUUCCAACCAGGCCUCACCAAUUCUGUCCUCAGCUCACCUACGAUGAGAAAGCAGAGCAUCUGUGCUGUUUCCUGAUUGUAUAAAAUACUGGGAAAUGCUGCCACAGACUGGAAUCUCCAUCAGAUUGCCAGAUGUCCUGAAUAUCCAGAAUUCUGUCUUUGCCUUUCUCAUUUUACCUGGUAUCUGGGGGUAAAUGAGACUUAGAGCCUCACGGAGCAGACUGAUGGAUGGGGCUGCUGGUCCCUUCCUUUACGUUUGCCAUCCACGUUGCAUCACAGAAUUGCAGGGGUUGGAAGGGACCUCGAGAUCAUCAAGGCCCACCCCCCUGCUAAAGCAGGCUCCCCACAGUAGCUCUCACAGGGAGGCAUCCAGAUGCCCAGCAUGGAUUGAUUUCUGUCUGUGAAGAUUUCUUACUUGAGGCUCUUCCUUGGAUCUGCACUUUCCGGUCUGUACCAAGGCUCAGACAGUGCACGGACUUUGGGACAUAAUCCUGGUUUCUGGGGACUCAGCACUGAAAAUGCCUUUGUGCUGGAGGCAGCCUGCGUUUGAAGGUCAGGAGCAUCCAGGCCCCUUAUUUCAUCUGUACUGAGAACUUAAGCUCAUUCAAAACACUCUGCUCUCCUUGCUUUGCUCAAACCCAACCAGUAUGUUUUAGCAGGUGUAUUUACUUCUUAAACAUAUUUGUUUAGUCUAUAAUUUCAUCGUGCCCCUGGUAUUGCCUUGCUGCCAGUGACUCGCUGCUGGGAAGCAGAGGGAUGGAGAAUGGUCUCGUGUUGAAGUUACUAAGCUGAGGUGCUUCCAAGAAUGAAAAAAGGUGUUUGAACAAAUGUGUUUUCAUCUGACCUUCAGUAAAUCUUCUGACUUCAUUUUUCCUCCUGCAAAUUAGGCUGACAUGCUGACCCAGUCAGGCAGCACAAGUGGGAUCCAGGUCCUCCCGUUGCUGAAGGAAGCUCCCAGGAACGAGGCUGCAGGAUUAAGGAGGAAGUGGAGGUUUUAAUGAAGCAGACUCCAUUCUUUGGUGGGGUGAAGGGAGCUGUCUCGUGGUGCCCUCUCGAGGUGGAGAGCCGCUGGUUCAUUCACUGUUUAGAGCAGCUGGGAUGCGAACUGGAAGCGCAGCCCUUGCUGAAGAAGCUGAGAAAUCAGUUUGCUUUGGAAAAGAACCGUUGCAGUAACUCCACGCAAAGUUGGUGGGUUCUGGAUUCCAUUUAGAAGUGCACACUGAUCCCUCUGCCUCCAACUUUUUUGUGAAAGCCAAAGGUGUUUCUCCCCUGUGUGAGAGCUGAUCAAAGUUAAAGGCUGCCUGCUUCCAUGAGGGCAGGGACACACUUCCCACAGUGCGCUCAUUUCAUUGGAAGUCUAGGAUAUGUUUGGGUAAUAAGGGGAAACCUUGAUGCAUUAGGAAGGCCAGCCUCUGGCUUCAAGUUAGAGGGCCCCGUGCCUGUGGGAGAAAGCCUUGCAUGGCCUGGGAAGCUGAGCGGAGGGAUGCAAUCACUGCUGCUUUGUGAAGGACUACAAACUGCAGGCUUCCUGUUAACAGCAAUUAUCAGAUGAUUGGGUUGGAAACAUCUUUUGCCAUGCGACGGCAGAUUCUCCUUUCCAAAGGCCUCAUCUUAAAUCCAACAAGGAGUGAGGAUUAUCAGUGCCAUAAGUCCUUUAGAGUCAUUGAAUGCAUUACGUUUGUUUUGGACUGAGAUGGGUAGAAGCUGAGUGCUUUGGGGCAAGGACUCCAUCUGACAGAUGAGUAUGCUGUGGGUGCGUGCUGUUUUAUCACUAGGCUGCCGUUCUGCUGAGUGGGAUAAAUUUCACCUGCGUCCACUUUGCUGUCACCUUUUCACAGGAUCUUUCUGAGUCAUCCCAGGCUCCUCCCACCCGAUACGGGUUAGACACAGGAGGCAAUUGCUGGCUGUAUUUUGUCAAAGUCCUUUCAGACCUCCUGCCACACCAAAUUGUCCCAACAGCAGCACUCACUGGAAGUCUGUUGUGUUCAUUGGACCAACAUUGUUUCAGCUGCACCCUUCAGGCCAGAUAACCACAGAGGGCUUGAGAUGGCCUUGCUUUCAGAAUUAGGAGGCAGUGGAGGCUGUGGCUACCAGAGAAGGCAGCUCACACAGAUUAGGUGCAACAAAGUGGGCUGAUGAAUGCUGCACCUUAGCAAGUGGCCUUUUUUUCCUCCUCAUAGCAAGACAGCUGUGGUCUUCAGAGACACCUGGGGAACAAGAUUUCCUGAAGGGUUUUUCUUUUUUGGUCUGAUUUUCUUCUGCUUUUACUAUAGAAGGCAGACUUCAUGAACUACAGCACCUCCUCUGUCCAUCUUUUAUGUGCAGCUUGGUUUUGGAGGUUGGAAGGUUUUUCAUCCAUUGAUUUUGUGCUCAUCGUGGAUAUGUUUUAAAAAUACUCUUAAAAAAAAAAAAAGUCCCUACUUCUCAUGGAUAAAUUUUGAUGGAGAUGGUGGGAAAUAAAUGUAAACAACUGCUGAAUGACAUGUGGAAUCUGAUAGCACAAAUCCCCUCUGCAGAGCUGUAAAUUGACUCAAAGCUCCUGUUGUGUGGAAAAGAACUCUUGGGCCCAACGAGGGGUAAGAUGUUAAUAAAACCUUUGUUCACUGUUACAAUAGGGAGCAGCUAAGUGUGGUUUGGGGUUUCUGCCAAGUUAACCCUGACUUAUUCCCAUUGUCAGAAGUACUGCUAAGAAACCCUUUAAUGUGUUAUUAAGGGUGAAAUAUGAAAAAUAGUAUUUUUCAUUUCCAAUGCUCUGUUUAAAGCAGAAGUGUUCAUUGUAAGAACAUCCUUUAUUCCCUUUCCCCACUGCUACACUCAGUGCUUUAAAGAAAAUUCACAUUUUGUGUGGCACUAAUUUUCUCCUUGUUGGAAAAAAAGUUGCUUAUGUGGUCUGAAACUGCCACCAUCUUUAAUAUGGCCAGAGUCUUAUUUUCUUUAAGAGGAAAGUGCAGGUGUUCUGAGCCCCUGAACACAUGCUAACCUGGCUUACUUGAUUGUUCCUUUGCCUGUGGCCUGUUAGUCGCUGCCCAGCCAUGGUCUCUUGCUGUUCUCAGCUCCUUAGGUCAGGAUGCAUGUGCAGUGCAUUCAGAUCCAUGCACGGGUUUGCAAUGGUAAUUCAAAUAAUAAUCAAGUUGUGAAAAAUAAGACAGUAUGCAUUUCAACAAGUUCAAUUUUUAUUUCUCCAGUGAAGAAAGGUGAGAGAAAGAAAGCUUCUGUCUCCAGUCUUGCCUUUUAUUUGCAACUGCGCUGCUAGGGAUUCAGAGGCUGUAGAAGGCAGCAUUUCGAUGUAUCUCCACUAGAGGCCAAGCGUGGUGUGAUGACACCUGGUGUCAUCUUGGCAACCAGGGAAAAAAUAAAGGAGGUGGAAGGUCUAAGCUGGGCAUUCUGGUGGAGUCAAGGUGUCUUGGGAUCUGAGUGCACAGAGCUCCAGCCAUACGUUUAAAAGCAGCCUGGUGUCACAGCCACAUUCCUUCCAGCCCUCAUACCUUUCCUUGCCCUCUGUGCCACCCACUCAUCUGAGGAAAGGUGGCAUCUAACCAAAACACACUUUGGGUGCUUUCAAUUAUAAAUCUUUACUCCAUUCUCAAAAUGUUUCCACUUGUUUUCUUGGCAGGACCUUGAGGAUCUCUCUUGAGAGUUCCGUUCACGUAGAUAUGCACAAAAGGAAUAGUUUAUCUCCAGCUCCUGCUGACUUCCAUGAAUAAUUUGUUGUAAAAGCUAAGUUGGACUUCUGCAGUCUUGAGUAACUUUGAAGUACCAGUUUCUAAUAUUCCAGCCACAGACCUAAGCAGCCUUUCUACUUUUAGAGGCCAAAGCGGCCUCUCUGAUCUCCACUUAUCUGUAACCACCUUGGAAAUUCCCACUCCUUUUCCCUCCUUUUUGGUUCCCCAUAAAACCAAGGGCUCCUCACUGGCAGAACUUCCCUUCUGAAUUAAAACUUAAACAAAGAUUUGAUGGAACAAAGAUUUGAUGGGUCUUUACUGUUUCUUCUUCAUCUCUCAAAGUGCAUGCCAGGAAAUACUGUGCUGACAUAGGAAGGUGGGCAGCUGUUUCACAGGGUGUAUUCAUACACCCACUCACUGAAGGCAAACAGAAUUGCUUAUCUGAGUAAUGCCACACAUGUGCCUGAGUGAUUGCAAAGGACUGAAAGGAGUUGGGAGUAGAAAUAAUAGCACUGCUUCAUCUCUCACAGAGCAGCGCCAACAAAAUAAUGAAGCUGCAUGAAUAAAGAACCAACAUAAUAAUCGGGCUGCCAGCAUUUUUGGAAAAUUAGCACUUCUUCCAUAACAGUAACGGCUGCUGGGAAAAUGGUACAAAAUAUAACUGUCAGGUUAAGCACACCUUAAUCAACAUGCGCCGAGUCCCACUGAUGUGUCCUCAAAACUGUUACUUAAGUACUUGUUAAAGCCAAUUAAAUAAACAAAAUUUUACAGCCUAAUAGCAUAAACCACAUAAAUAACAUAAAAGAGCCAUAAUGGCUGAAUGGGUGAGUGUUUAGCCCUUCCUGAUUUAAAACAGUGAAGUGAAAAAUGUUGCAGCCCUUGAAGGUGAUUUUGAAGACGAGGAAGUGACUGUGCUACACAAACAGCAAUCAGAGACAAUUAAGAGAACUGGGACAAGUGCCUCAUUCUCUCCACAGACUGCAUGGGAAAUUGCACUUUACAUUUCAGUCUCGUUGCAUUUAAAAUAAGGCCCCCAGCUAUGUCAUUUUUCAAGUCCAACUCAAAUCAAAAGAUAUUGCUUAAAAUCUUCCUAUUACUCCAGAAGUGAAAAGAAUGAUUGUCUAUGCUGAUGAGCCCAGAAGAUUGUCUUGGAAAGACUUUGGCAGUUUUGUCUCCCAGUCAUUAUAAUGUUAUUUCUGCUCCUGAAGAAGACUGACAGAGCCUGAAUGCCACAAUAAGUACUGGGGCAGUUUAGGGUAGCUGCAGAUUUCAUGUUGUUUCCCUGCCAGCAGAGAAACUGUGCUGUGCUGUGCUGUGCGUCUGUUUUCUUUUAGAGCUUCAUCUGAUGAAGAAUCUUCUACUGCAUAGAAACAAAACAACAGAAAAUAAAGGCAAGCUAAAAACAGCCCGUAAAAAAAUGGAAAGAAUGCAAAUAGGGAAUUUUGGCAAUAAUGCAAUUAGACAUGUCUGUAUAUAAUUAUAACCUGUAUAAAUGUAACCCUAUCCAUAGACAGGUCCCUAGCACACACAGCCCUUGGGCAGCACCUGCUCAAAACCUUUCUGGUAAGCAUGGAAAGAUUUCAGUACAAAAUGGAGAGGAGUUCUGAAGCGGUCAGGUUGCCUCGCUUUGGCAGUCAUUGUUUUGUGAAGACAGGAGCGCACUGAGCUUUCAGAGCUCAUACAGCUCCUCUGAUUUGUCUUAAAUUGCGAUGCCUAGAAAUGAGCACCUCAGCUUUAAAGGUGCUUAAAGGCAGAUGUAAGUGACCAGCUUUCCCAUGGUGCAAACCAUAGAGCCAUCUAGGAGGUAAAGGACCUGUGGGGUCAUCCAGUCAAACUAGCAGCCUGACCUACCAGGUCCCAUUGCUAUGCCGUGUCCAGCAGUGCCACAUCCACUCUGCUGCCUCCUUCAGCAGCCCGUUCCAAAGCUUAACCACCUGCUCUGUGAAGAAAAUACUCUUGAUGUCCAAUCUAAACUUCCCUUGGUGCGACUGGAGGCUGUUUCCUCACAUCCUGUCACGUUACCUGGGAAGAGACCAACACCCUCCUUGCUGCAAACUCCUUUCAGACAGCUCUAGAGCACGAUGAGGCCUCCCCUCAGCCUCCUCUUCUCCAGAAUGAGCAGCCCCAGUUCCUUCAGCUGCUCUGUCUUUUGGAUUUGGAGACAUAAGGAGCAGCAGAGUACGAGUAUCAUUAAUAUGUUUAUUUUUUAAAGUUGUUUUUUUUCCUAAUGGAAAAGGCUCUAAAAACAAAUUUUAAUUAAAAGGACAGUUAAUGCCAAAUAUAAGAAAUUGUUAAUUUUAAAAAAGUCAAUUACAAGAUUUCUUCACUCAGAUACAAUCAACUGCAUACACUGGGUAGUCUUAUAAAACAAGAAAACAAGAACUUAAAUCAAUUAUUUUCUGAUGAAAGAUGUAACUUGUACUUUUUUCUGUGUAACAAUUGAGUAAGAGAGAAAUUAUGGUUGCAGUGAUGACCUGGUGCUCGCUCCCUCUGUCCAAUGGGUAAGCUACCUCAAUUCCUGAAAAAAGAGUAAUGCCCUCUUGGUCUCUGAGGACUUCAGGGCAAAUAAGGUUCUUGAAACUAAGAUGGGUUUGAGAAGGAAGCUACCUGUAAAUUCUAACAAACCCAGCAACACAGCGGAGUGUCAGAAUUCGAGUCCAUCUGAAUCAGCAGUCAUACAUGGAACUGUGCAAAAAAAAGAGAAAUGCUGCAAGCCACAAGUCCUGCUCCCCAAAGCAUCUCCUGGUGCCAAGACUCACGGUGGACUUCCUAGCAGAAACUUCAUCCGUUUCAGUGGGACUUCUUUGGAGCAUUCAAUGAACGAUGGCAAAGUUGAGUCCUGAACUGUUGCUUUAAAAAAGCUUUAGGAAAAAUAUACUUAAAGGCAAAUGCUGCUCUCAAUAAAAUCAAUGGGAGUUUUGUGACUUAAAUUGUAUGUUAUACAAUAAUAAAACUUGUCUUACAUUUUCAGGUACUGCAGAUGCCUAACUACUAAUCUAAGGAAUACAUUGAUGCACUUAAAGAUAUACAUGUAUAAAACUGCAGUGCUUGUCAUGUUAUAUUCACUGGUGACUGCAGUUCUGCCAAUGACUCUGUGUCAUUUUCCAAAAGCUGAAGACCAUCGGUAGCAUAACACCAAGCUGAGGUCUCUCUAGCUCUCCUCUUGGAGCAAUGCUGUCACGUUAGAGGGACUUGUAGCAAAUGCUUGCAGUUGCUGAGACUGUCAUCCAACUGCACUCUGCUUUGUGCCCAGGAAAAGGAUGGGGCCGGCUGAAGUGCUGGCACGACGCCAUGCGGACAGAUGGACAGAUUGGUGAGCAACGCGGGGACCGAGCAGGAGCAGCCAGUGUGGAUUCUGAAGGCAGCGCUCCCAGCUGGCAGACACCAAACAGCCGGCCUGCAUUUGUUAAAAACAAUUUCUGUUUUCGGAAACGUUGCGGUUUGUUUGGUUCUGGGUGACGUAACGCACCAAACACAACAGGGAGAGGAAGGGCUAUUGUUAAUUGAUGUUGGUAGAGUUGGCUUGAGCUGUACGAAAGGAAGGAAAUGAAGAGUGGGCAUUUCUUCUGGGCCCUGCAGAGAGUGAGAGAGAAAUCUCUGCACGGAUUCCGAAGCUGGAACUUAUCAGAAACUCACACUUGAGUUUUUUUUCUCCAAAGAGGAUCACAGUCAAGUAGGGGCACUGUGAAACAGCUCCUGUCCUGGCGUGAGGGUAAUGUUUACAGGAUACACUUGGGCUCUGCCUUAUUGCAAGCCGGAAAACGGAAACUUGAAGGUGAAAAUAUGGAGCGAAUGUAUUUUGUUUCUGAAGAAAAUAUCUGAAGAGAGAUACUCUAAGUUUAAAUAUUUAGCUUUAAGCGGUUUCUUUCUUGGCACGCUGAGAUUUAGACAGUAAAAUCAAGUCUUUCAACCCCAUAUGGAAAUGGGGCAGGGAGCCUGAAUGGUUGGUCCUCACAUGUGGAAGCGUCCCUUUGUCUUACAACAUUUCAUCCCUUCUAUUGGCAAAAUCAAGUGUCUUCCUGGGCAGAGACUUUAUCCUGGCCACAAUGUUCUCUCUUCUAAUAGUCAGCCUAAUCUGCACGUCAAGCCAUAACCUGUAAUAAAUACCAGCAUGGUACAGAUUUGUUUACUAAACUAAAGUUCAUAGAGAAGAAAUAUGUUUCUGUUGGUGCACUUGUUGUCCUUCUCCCAGACUGCGGUACUUGUUGAUCUGUGCUGAGAUGGCACGCAGCCGCACUUUACGGGCUUCCACAGAUUAUGCUUACAAGCUUAAUACCAAUUAUAUGCCUACAGUACAUUAAAUAAAACAACUGCAUUGAAAGAAUGUCAAAGGCAUGAGGCUGCCAGCCAAACAGUGGUUUAUACUUUAAAGUAAAACCCUCAUCUGCGUACUCCGGCAGCACCUCUGAACUACGUGACCAAGUGCUUCUGGUGCCGUUUUAGGACAAGGCUUUAGUACAUUCCUUCCAUCUUCUGCCUUCCCCAUGUAAAGGUGACAUGCACGGUGCCUACGUGGUGGCUUUGUCGCAUUCACGAGGUGUGUCUAAUUUGGAACAUCACAGGUCUGAGACUGUGGCUGUCAGUGCAGACAUUAUCUAACUGUUGGUCUCAUCUUGGCUUGCAAAGAUCAAGAGCCGACCAUUGUGCACCACAGCAGAGAGAAACAAAACAUUACCAUGACCCCGGCUCUAAGCCAGCCAUGUUACAAAGGGGUGAAUCUGGGUUUAAGUCUUCCUUGUCUUGUUUAAGGUCACCGAUUCUCCCUAAAGAAGCAAAACAAAACACACGUGCAAUAAUUAAAAGAAUUAACACUGGACUUAGUUUGUGCCUGCAAACCAGGAUUCCUGCUAAGUGGAAAUUUGCCAGAUGCUCUCCAACACCAGACACAAAGAAGAGGCUUUUUCUAACUUAAACCUGAGUUUUGCUGUGGGAUCAAAGCUCACAAUUCUGCCUGUUACCGGUUUAUUUCAGAGCGUCAAUGCUUGCACUACAGGUUCUAUCUCAGAGUUACUUGGAAGAAGCUGUAGAAAAUCUUUUUUCUCUCAGGCUGCCAGGCUUUUAUUUAGUGGAGAAAGUAACACAAACAAUAAAAUGCUGGAAGUGCCAGUGGGCUCAGUAAAGAAGAUUGAAGGGUUUAUAUGUCUUUUUCUUCUUUGUCCUUUCUUUUUCUUUCUUUCUUUCUUUUUUUAAUGGUCCAAUUAUGUACCACGUAGCAGCAACUGGGCUAACAACAGCCAUAUGAUGGAAUAGCUCGUAAUCCGGUUGUGGGUCUAGCUCCACGAGACAGACUCCAAGUAGAUGAGUUUUAAAUCUCCUUAGAAUUAAGAAGGGUUUGGCAACCAAAUUAAUUGUUUUGGAGAAAUCCUCCUUUAUGGAUUGUGAAGAGGAUAAAAAGGGAAAAAACAUGUCAUCUGUAGUGGUUAGUCAGAUGUUCUUUUGGAGUUACAGCGAUUUCCUCUCUAAUUCCUCUUCUUGUUGACAUUCCCCUUAAAAGAAUAAUGAGUGCUGUGUGAGUUGCCUUAGUGCUGCUCGUCGCUGUGUACGUUACGAAAUCUUUGCAUUAAGCCACCCAAAUGGAUUGAAUCACAUCGCAAGGCAGGCAUUAAAAACAAUUGCACUCGACUGCGAGCGCGCAUGAAAGCAAAGUAUAACUGAUACACUGUGCAAGUGCUGAUCAGUGCUGGUGCACUGUGCAGCAGAUUGCUUCAGAGAGGUGCUUGGGCCCAGACAUCUGAGAGCACUGGUUCAGCAGGACUGGGUUAUUUUAGUCUUUGGAUCUUUAAUAUUGAUGUACUUACCCUUUUUCCAGCGAGGCUGUGAUGCUUUGGAACAAGGCAUUGCAUGUAUAAUUAAUACCGCGUUUAAAUAACGGGAGGCAAUUAAACAAUCACUGUGCAAUAGCCUCCCAGGUGUAUUUCUUUAGCAUACAUUUUGUAGCUAUGUGGCCUGUUCUCACAGUGGCUGUGUUACUUAAUUAGCCCAUGCUUUUAAGGUGUUUUGGCAAAAACAGAGGUGCAAUAACCAAGAUAUUGUUAUUUCACAGGUGGCUUAGAAGGAGCUGCAUUAAGGCGGCUGGUACUGACAGUCCUUUAAUACAGAAAGCCAGGAGAUGGUUCUGCACGUGGUAAAUUAAACAGCGAAAUAUACCAAUCUGAACGUGAUUUCUCUCAAGCUAAACCACCCCACGUUCAUUUGCUUCGGCUUUAAGCCCUUCCAUUCUAGUAUUCUCUGGCCCCGGUUACAGAAUUGCAGCUUGCUUUUCACCUAUCUUCCAACAGUCUAACAUAGAUGUCUGGGUCCAGUCCAUUGUUCCAAUUGUAUAUAGUUUAAAAAGCUCUGCAGUAUUUUACUCUUUCCAUUAUAUCUUGGCUUCCCCGAGCGCUCUGCUCGCUGCAUUUUGCUUGUACUGGCUCUGUUUUCUAAACCCAUUUGUGCCUUUUUUUCUGUACACACUUGUUCAUUGGGGAGCUUAAAUUGACUUCUCUCCAUUCUGUUUCCUUAACUAAAAACGCACCAUUAAGGUUGAUUGAAGUCUUUUGAAAACACUUCAUAAAAAAUGAAAGGCCAUGAGAAAUUAGGCUACCAGUGUUUGCAAAUACCUGUUUUCAGCCAAAUUGAUGGGAAGGAAUAAGAACUGAAAUCUAAAAAUGCUACCGAUAUAUAUUUGUUUGCUACUUAGUUUUAUGGGAAUGGAAAUAGAAUGUGUAAAACACGGUGAGGAAUAAAAUAUUGAGACACAAACAAAACACCCUGCUUUUGUCAUGGAAAGCCUUUUCCCAAAAAGCCUAAAGCAGGCCCCAGACAGAGAACGUGCCAGCAUUAAUUCUUACAGAAUCGCUUUAUUUUCAAGUGCUCCUCUUUGGAGAAGGCUGAAAACUGUUUCUAAGAACAACAUUGGAGCCGUGCGAUAACGUGUUUAUCAGCAAUGGGAGUUCUUACGGAGUGCUUUCCAAAUGGGAGAGAACACAAGGCUGAUCAGAUCGGCAAAACUUGGAAUCUCCU